AUGAGUUGCCAAGGAAACAGUGUUCUUAAGCUCUUGAGAAGCUUGAAGCUAGUCCCUAUUCAUAUGAGGAGAAAAAUAGCUACAUUCCUGGUUGAAAAUUUUCAUAGAGAAACAAUUCCAUUGAUUGGGGAAAAGUGUGGAGCAAUCUUUAAGAAAAGAGCAUGUGGACAGAAAAGGUCUAAUUUCAAAAGAACCCUCCAAAGUAAUGAAAAAAAUUUUAAACAUACGUUGUUUUACAUGAAAUACUCCAUGAUCAUAGUUUUGCACACAUAUAUUUAUAUGUCAGCUGUCUUGUAUGUGGACCCUAUUAAUGCUGCCAUCUCACACUUGCUGUUUUGUGAGAUGCUGUCUGUAUUGUGUCCGUAGAAGCCACACAGAUUAUUAUAUUUGACUCUGUAAUUCUGCCCCUGGCCACCUUAAAAUUUUUGCUUUCCCCACUCACAUCCCUUCUGAGAUCAAGCUAUAAAUGCUCUGCAGGAUGGCCACUUGUAUAAUCAACUUUACUGUAAGAUACUGAAAUAAAAUUAUUUCUUUUUACUUAUCCGUCUAUAGCUGAUAUCAUGUUCUUGUCUUCUGUAUUUCCUUUCCCUGCAUGCAAAAAUAUGUCAGUGAUGAUUAGUAUUUUGCCUAUGUCCACGGUAAGCUAGCGCUUGUCUGUUAAAUAUUUUAAUAAGAAAUUGUUCUGAGUCACAACUGAGCCAUUCCCUGGUGCAAGACAUGUCUGAGAGCGCUGUCUGAAAUUACAGAGCUACUUCAUGUCAGGCAAACAGAGGCCAUGAUGUUAUAUGUCCAUCCCCACAUGCACAGAAAGGCACUUACCAUGCCCAUUAGGAUAUUCUUAAUUGCUGAGAUAAGAAGCUCACCGGGUGAUCUCAAGCCUUCUCUGUAAUAAUGGUAGAAGGGAGAAGGGUGUGUAUCAUAGCUGGAGCAAGUUAUCUAUACUCAGUGUCGUGAAUCUUAUACACUGGAGCAAUCUCCUAAUCAUAUUAAAUUAGACAAUCUUUAAGGUGAUUGCUUUACAUGUUGCAGAGGUGUGAGCAUGUACCCCAGAGGCAGAAAAGACCAGAGCACUUCAGUUAAAAUUAACUUCUUCUCUGGUUGGGAACUUGCUCCUAUGAGCUGAAAAGGUUUGUAUGGGAUGGAAAUGUUAUC
rnacentral:lncRNA from 1 species